CCCUGGGCAGUUACAGUCCUUCACUUGGCUCUGUCAUCCUGCGUUGCUGGGACACAAGCCUUCUUGUGCUUCUCCCAGUGCUUCACUUGGCACUCCCUGUGGGCAGUCAGGCUGGUGAGGGCGGCAGUGUUUAGGGGGAGGGAUCCCAGGGCUGGAGGAGAGGGGUGUGGGUGUGUGUGAUGCCUCACCUGCAGCAGUACCACUCCUUCCGACACCUGGAGCAGCGCUUGGUGGCCCCAGCACUGCAAUAGCCACAGCGGGGUCCAUCUGGAGCGAUGGCCUCCAGCACAUCCAGCCGAUAGGUCUCCGCCCAUCUACAAAGGACCGGCAGGGGCAGAGGCAGUGGAGAAGCACUGGCCCACAUCUGGGUCUCAGGGCUCCCAACCGCUCUGGCAGCUCAGUCCGUCUUACCUUGCUGCCUGCAGCCGCAGGUCCUUCUCAGAUGGACUGAACACGUGCUGAAGCUGGUGCUUGGCGAUCGCCUGCCACUUGCCCUUGUUCUCUCGCUCCAGCUGUUCCCAGAUUUCUGGGAUCUAGAGAAAGAGACAUGGAGAACAACAAGGAGGAACAGGCAAGACAGACAACAAAAGUCCUGAGUGGCCAGCUCACAGGGGGAAGCUGCGCAGGCCCCGCACCAGCACAUCCGCCUCCCCGGGCAGCAGCAGCUCCAGGUCGCCCAUCUUGGGGCCAGGGUCUUCAGGCCGCAGCCGAAGCGGAGGUGCUGACAGACACGUCAGGACGCCGGACUGCCGUGGAACCAGAGCCGGCCACAGGACAGUUGUAGGGCAGUUGGGAGCGCGUGGAUCCUAGUUGCCAGGGAAACGCGUGAGCUUGCGCCUGCGCCGAGAGGCCUCGGCUGCGCCCCUGCCGGCGGCUCAGCGUCGCAGAGCCCAUUGUUUAUGGCAACUAUGCUCCAGUCCUCCUACUGCAGGCCUGCUAUGCCUGGAGCCUGGGACUGCUGAUAGAUAGUAAGUUGGUCGGCACACGCUUGGGGUAACGUGAACUCCGUCCGUUCUU